rnacentral:misc_RNA from 1 species
AGCAGCCGCGGUAAUUCCAGCUCCAAUAGCGUAUAUUAAAGUUGUUGCAGUUAAAAGCUCGUAGUUGAAUUUCGGGAUCAAUAUGUUGGUCGUGCCUUGGUACGUACUGGCAUUAUCGAUUCCUACCUUCUGAAGAACCUCGAUGUCAUUAAUUUGGUGUCUUGGGGAAUCAGGACUGUUACUUUGAAAAAUUGAGCGUUUAAGGCAGGCUCGCGCUUGAAUACAUUAGCAUGGAAUAAUGAAAUAGGACGUUUUGAUUCUAUUUUGUUGGUUUCUAGGAUCGACGUAAUGAUUAAUAGGGAUAGUUGGGGGCAUUAGUAUUCAAUUGUCAGAGGUGAAAUUCUUGGAUUUAUUGAAGACUAACUACUGCGAAAGCAUUUGCCAAGGAUGUUUUCAUUAAUCAAGAACGAAAGUUAGGGAUCGAAGACGAUCAGAUACGUCGUAGUCUUAACCAUAAACUAUGCCGACUAGGGAUCGGAUGAUGUUAAUUUUUAAUGACUCAUUCC